AGAUUUGCAGUGGCAAGAUCAUAGCCAAUGAAGUUUAUAAGAGGUGCAAUUAUUACUAAUUGAAAACUUUUCCCAAUACCCCGCCAUGAUGACUUGCAAUAUAGUUGGCCUUGGCAAUUUUUGACAGUCCCUAUGGGA
rnacentral:snRNA from 1 species